CUACCCUUGACAUGUCCGGAAUCCUGCAGAGAUGCGGGAGUGCCCGAAAGGGAAUCGGAACACAGGUGCUGCAUGGCUGUCGUCAGCUCGUGUCGUGAGAUGUUGGGUUAAGUCCCGCAACGAGCGCAACCCUUAUCAUUAGUUGCUACGCAAGGGCACUCUAAUGAGACUGCCGGUGACAAACCGGAGGAAGGUGGGGAUGACGUCAAGUCCUCAUGGCCCUUAUGGGUAGGGCUUCACACGUCAUACAAUGGUCGGUACAGAGGGUUGCCAAGCCGCGAGGUGGAGCCAAUCCCACAAAGCCGAUCGUAGUCCGGAUUGUUCUCUGCAACUCGAGAGCAUGAAGUCGGAAUCGCUAGUAAUCGCAGGUCAGCAUACUGCGGUGAAUACGUUCCC
rnacentral:rRNA from 1 species